rnacentral:lncRNA from 1 species
CAUUGAUCUAGCUCUUGAAAUGGGAAAUACUGGUAUAGUAUAUCACUUACGGAGGUCUGAUUUAAUGCUCAUUUAAGUGAGCCACCCACUCCCUGCUUCUCUUUUGGGUCUCCUUUGCAAAAUCGUUUGUAAAAUAAAGGACAUAAUAUCACGAUUCUCAACUUCUUCACAUAUAUGUAGCAUUGCAUUAUGAAUAACCAUACAAUUUCAGUACUCUAUUUAAAUUAUUAUGUGUUACAUUCCCUCCUGUUUCCUUUUUUCCUACAGACUCUGUAUAGGCAUACCUCGAAGAUAUU